CAAAGUCCAGGAAAUGGCAUUUCAGAGACUCUAAAUUUAAAAAUUUCCUCGGGCCUUCGGCCCUCGCUUCGGCUUGUUUUUAAUAAGAAUAACGUCAAAUGUUUGUCCCAGAAUUACUAGAAUAAACCCCAACAAAAUUUAGAAUUUCCAAAAUAUCUUAUUGUACCUCCCCUCCCCUCCCGCCAAUUCAGGGCACUUUGGAGAGCCCCCCUUGUUAACAUUCCAGGACUACACCACUAAUAGGCCUAUAAAUUUCACUUAAAGCUUAAGGGGCCCUACAGUAAUUUUUUAGUCGAAAGCCACCUUAAGUAGGGAACUCCACGGAGAUUCGUUUGGCUGUAUCUUACAUGCAGUAUCCAUGAGUAUGAGUACUUUUGCACACAGAAAACGCAUGCAUACUGUGGUGCGCAUGUCAAGUAGCGACAAUAACAAAAAAUGUAAACAAUACUUACUUGACUAAAAAAUUACUGUAGGGCCCCUUUAAAAAAAAAAAAUUUCCAACCAUCAAGUGAGAAAAAAAAAA